CAGUCGCCGCGGGAAUACGAAGGGUGCAAGCGUUAAUCGGAAUUACUGGGCGUAAAGCGUGCGUAGGCGGUGAGUUAAGUCUGCUGUGAAAUCCCCGGGCUCAACCUGGGAAUGGCAGUGGAUACUGGCUCGCUAGAGUGUGUCAGAGGAUGGUGGAAUUCCCGGUGUAGCAGUGAAAUGCGUAGAGAUCGGGAGGAACACCAGUGGCGAAGGCGGCUACCUGGACCAGCACUGACACUGAAGCACGAAAGCGUGGGGAGCAAACAGGAUUAGAGACCCGCGUAGUCCCUGUCUCUUAUAC
rnacentral:rRNA from 1 species